rnacentral:rRNA from 1 species
AUGAACGCUGGCGGCGUGCCUAAUACCUGCAAGUCGAGCGAACAGAUGAGGAGCUUGCUCCUCUGACGUUAGCGGCGGACGGGUGAGUAACACGUGGAUAACCUACCUAUAAGACUGGGAUAACUUCGGGAAACCGGAGCUAAUACCGGAUAAUAUAUUGAACCGCAUGGUUCAAUAGUGAAAGACGGUUUUGCUGUCACUUAUAGAUGGAUCCGCGCCGCAUUAGCUAGUUGGUAAGGUAACGGCUUACUAAGGCAACGAUGCGUAGCCGACCUGAGAGGGUGAUCGGCCACACUGGAACUGAGACACGGUCCAGACUCCUACGGGAGGCAGCAGUAGGGAAUCUUCCGCAAUGGGCGAAAGCCUGACGGAGCAACGCCGCGUGAGUGAUGAAGGUCUUCGGAUCGUAAAACUCUGUUAUUAGGGAAGAACAAAUGUGUAAGUAACUAUGCACGUCUUGACGGUACCUAAUCAGAAAGCCACGGCCAACUACGUG